UCUGGCGUUUGGCAGCCGAGUCAUGUGGGGGAAAGAACAGGAGGAAGGCCGGAUCCGGAAUCUCAUGCAGCAGAUCGGGGAAGAAAGGAGGAAGCUUUCUUACUUUGAGGGGAAUGUUGUCUGGCUCGAGGUGCAGAAACAUACAGAUCUCAUCGGUCUAGGUUCUUGUCGAUCUCGGACCAGGCUUCAUUCCCCUCAAGUGGAGCUCCCGGGCUGUUCCGCGCUCGUACGUCCGUCGAUUCCCCCUCCUGUUCUUGCCGUGAGUUUCCUUGGGCAUAUCAUCGAGAUGUGUAGCGAUUCUCUCUCUUCGCUCGUUUGACCUUGCUUCUUCGGCCUAGAUUGUGCCUCCGCAGCUAGAAUCAUGCAUGAUUAGGAUAUGAUUAUCUCGGCGAAUGUUUGCUAUGUGUUGGGUUUCGUGCGGUCGGCAUGCAGCAGAUUGGUGCAAUCAUAAGGAUUCUUGACUCAAAAGAACACACAGGCAUGCUUGCUUUUCUUCGUUUAAACUACGGCCGGCUUAAUUGGCAUCUGCAUCUCCCUUGUAGUUGCGGUCUUUUUCUUCUGCCCCCACUUUAUUUCUCACUUUCUCUAAGAGUUUGUGUAUCAUCUCUAGUUCUCUCUACCCCCUUUCAACAUGAAGGAUCUUCGUAUCUUCUCUUGUGAUCCGUACGAUGGCAUCUUUAUCUGCUUUCUCUCUCUUAGACGACAUAGCUGCUUUCUUCUAGUUCAUCUUAAUCUCAUACAAGAGAUUCGUUGGUCAAAUCCACAUCUAGUUAACGUUGGUCAUAUAUACCAUCAUCAGUAUGCGUAGUGUAACAUAUAUACCUCGUAGAUACAUAUCAAAAGUUUUUUUAAUUUUCUCAUAAAUUGAUCAACCAUCACGGUGCCGAACAAGUGUUUUCUAGUCCUCUAGUUAAGUUAAUUUCCAAAGCAAGGACGGCAAAUUAAAGCUUAAAGAUACUACAUAUACAACUAUAUAUAUAUGACAUACUCCCUCCGUUUCUUUUUAGUUGUCGCUGGAUAUAUAGUUCAAUUUUGCACUAUCCAGCGACAAUUAAAACGAAACGGAGGGAGUAUAUACUUGUUUCUUCAGAAUAAUAUAAUCUGCUCACGUACGCCAUUUGGCCUGACAUUUUUAUGUAUGUACUCCCGAUGCAAAUUUAAAUAAACACUGCCAUCUACUAACAACUACGACGACAUAUUUGUUUCUUGGGAAGGCCAGGCCAAAAACUAAGGUUCAUGAGCAGUUGUCUCCUUCCCUUUGUUUCCUCAUACAUCAAAGCAGGACACAUGCUACUGAUCAUCCUGUCGUCCGUCCCAUGCAUAUGGAGCCAGUAGCCACACAAAGCUAGCUGUAACUUUUACAGUUCUACCUCCAUCCAUGUGCUAGCUGCUGCAUAUGCCUGCAUAUGUAUUCCAACUGUGCAAGUUAUUAUGAAACAUUUCCAUGGAUGGAUGUGUAGCAGUUAGAGCCUACAUGUAUCUUAUAGAUGGUAACGCGGUAAUGCUGCUUUAUUUCUUGCACUGCUUGGACAUCGUAUGCAUUUGGAUAAUAUAUAAUGGAAUAGAUAGCGAGAUGGGUACUGAAAUUAUUUUGCUAGAGUGAGCAACUUGCAGAGAAUUGGUACAAGCAGAAGAUAUGCCACUACGUAUAAAACAUGUUCACGUCGAUAAAUUUGUUGCUGACUCACUUAUGAUAGAUGUUACUUUUUUAUUUGUCAUCGUUUAGUUCAAAAAUAAAUUAGCAAUAGACAAACAUUUAAAAACAGAAGUAGUAUAUAGCAGGCUACCAAAACACACAUGCAUGGUGACUGCUUAACUCUUUGUCUUAUUCUAUGUAUAACGUUUGAGCAGUUAAUCUUGGUGGUUUUUACAUUCUUGUGCUCACAAGCGCUGAUAUUUAUACGCACAGCUGACUGAUGCAGGUAAAUGCAACCAAAUAAAGGAGGUAGCAGUAUAUACUUCUAUUUUAAUAUACUUGUUGGCAGGGACAGCCACCAGCUGGUUUCCUACUUUUAAAGGUCAGUAUAGUACUACGUUUGAGUUGAACAAUUUCCUGUGCAACCUAACAUGCAGUGGUGUCCUUUUUUUUAAGAAGGGACAGGUAAUGCGCUGCAGCCCCCCUAUAUGGGUCACUAAUGUCACAAGUUUACUGUUGAAGAUUAUGUCCGUGCAUGCAGUAAGUACAAGCAAGGUCAGCCCAUACAUAUGCAUAGCAGGAUUAAUUUGUAUUGUCAUGGCAGUUUUAGCCGUCACUAACUUCACAAGUAGCGAAGCGCAUGACCUGCCUCAUGCCCGCAGUACUAAUCUAGCUACCAGAGUAUGAUGCUAGCAUCAGUCCAAAGAAACAUGAAAUCAAACAGGGGCCAGGAACCAACUGCAACCGGUGAAGUGAAGCAGUUGAGCAAGACAGUACAGUCGUGUUCAAGCGUGGAAUUAUCCAACGGCAAGUACCAUUAUUAACUUGUGGAAAGAGAUAAUUAGGUGUACCAAAAGCCCUAGAGUGCUAAGCUAGAAUAGCAUGAUGGUUUGGGUUGUCCUUCGUGUGCACUAGUGCUCUCGGUGGAAUGCAAGUUUCAGAUCCCAUUCAAUUGAUUGUUUCCAUUCAUUCCUAUUCAUGGCUACAGCUAUACAGUAUAUAUAUUUCCUUGGAACGUACUCCGAAAAACUCCAGGUAGUUUCAGAAUUAGAUGGGCCGGGAUGAGGAACUAGACUACUAGAGUAUAUCCUUGGGGCCCAAUGCUACUGGUAUUACGUAAUUUCUCAUUCUCACUGUGCCUCGGAGGUUUUAGCUAGUAUUGAUACUUAUUUCAGCUUAUUUGUAAUCCCAAAAUGCUAUUUUAUCCUUCUACCUUUUCUUCAUAAUCCAACUUAUAUACUCUAGCAGAGAAACAACAAGGCCUAAAAUGCCCCCUCUCCACUCUCUCUCUUCGUAGGAUGUGUUGAUAUCCUGAAGGAAAGAAGCCAGAAUAAAAACAUGAUGCGAAGAAACGGCACUACACCAGCAUACCAGCAUUUUACGUUGUGUUCCAUCGUAUCCAAAUAUAUAAAGAACUGGCAUCCUGCGAUUGUGUAUAUACUCCUUCCAAGCAGGAUGAAAACACGACAGAUAAAUUGACAGUAGUAGUGUGCUAUCGGUAAUGCCACUACAUUUGUUUAGCGGCGAUCUGUAUCUCAUGGAUAAAAAUAGUCCAUCUUAUAGAAAUAUGUUAAUAAAGAUUAAACGUGUGUUAAUUA